GUUUGUUCAUUUGCAAACUACCAAACUAGACCGGCCACAAGCCCAGAUUCUCUGGAAUUGUUUUGGGCAUGAAACCAUGCGUGCGGUCGGUCGAAAAGGAAUUUUCUGAACCCUUGCUCUGAUCUUGGUGAUUUUGGGAUAUGUUGUUCACCCAGAUCAGGGCUAUCAGGGGAUGUGUUGUAUUUUGGGGUACUUAUUGGACUUUAUAAAAAUAUGUGUUUUUUCUGUCUAGGAAUAAUUAAGUUAUUGCAUUAUCUACCUUAAUUGUAUCACAGGCAGAGGGGAGGGAUUGUGCACUGUAUGUGGGAGUGUCGUUCAUUGUUACAUUGUUUUGAUUGGCUUGUAUACUUUGUGUUCUGUGCCCAAUAAGGUCAACCUGGGCAUCAACCUUGUUGGGAAACUUGUAUAAAAGGCAGUGUGCAAAAACCUCCAG